rnacentral:rRNA from 1 species
GAUGAACGCUGGCGGCGUGCUUAACACAUGCAAGUCGAACGGAAAGGCUCCUGCUUGCAGGGGUACUCGAGUGGCGAACGGGUGAGUAACACGUGGGUGAUCUGCCCUGCACUUCGGGAUAAGCCUGGGAAACUGGGUCUAAUACCGGAUAGGACGAUGGUUUGGAUGCCAUUGUGGAAAGUUUUUCGGUGUGGGAUGAGCUCGCGGCCUAUCAGCUUGUUGGUGGGGUAACGGCCUACCAAGGCGUCGACGGGUAGCCGGCCUGAGAGGGUGUACGGCCACAUUGGGACUGAGAUACGGCCCAGACUCCUACGGGAGGCAGCAGUGGGGAAUAUUGCACAAUGGGCGCAAGCCUGAUGCAGCGACGCCGCGUGGGGGAUGACGGCCUUCGGGUUGUAAACUCCUUUCGCUAGGGACGAAGCGCAAGUGACGGUACCUGGAGAAGAAGCACCGGCUAACUACGUG